rnacentral:rRNA from 1 species
GUGCCAGCAGCUGCGGUAAUACGGAGGGUGCAAGCGUUAAUCGGAAUUACUGGGCGUAAAGCGCACGCAGGCGGUCUGUCAAGUCGGAUGUGAAAUCCCCGGGCUCAACCUGGGAACUGCAUUCGAAACUGGCAGGCUAGAGUCUUGUAGAGGGGGGUAGAAUUCCAGGUGUAGCGGUGAAAUGCGUAGAGAUCUGGAGGAAUACCGGUGGCGAAGGCGGCCCCUGGACAAAGACUGACGCUCAGGUGCGAAAGCGUGGGGAGCAAACAGGAUUAGAUACCCUGGUAGUCCACGCCGUAAACGAUGUCGAUUUGGAGGUUGUGCCCUUGAGCGUGGCUUCCGGAGCUAACGCGUUAAAUCGACCGCCUGGGGAUACGGCCG